rnacentral:rRNA from 1 species
UUUAUUGGAGAGUUUGAUCCUGGCUCAGGAUGAACGCUGGCGGCGUGCCUAAUACAUGCAAGUCGAGCGGAUGGAUUGAGAGCUUGCUCUCAAGAAGUUAGCGGCGGACGGGUGAGUAACACGUGGGUAACCUGCCCAUAAGACUGGGAUAACUCCGGGAAACCGGGGCUAAUACCGGAUAACAUUUUGAACUGCAUGGUUCGAAAUUGAAAGGCGGCUUCGGCUGUCACUUAUGGAUGGACCCGCGUCGCAUUAGCUAGUUGGUGAGGUAACGGCUCAC